rnacentral:rRNA from 1 species
UACGUAGGGACCGAGCGUUGUCCGGAAUCAUUGGGCGUAAAGAGCGUGUAGGCGGCCAAUUAAGUCCUGCGUGAAAUCUCGGGGCUCAACCCCGAGCGGUCGUGGGAAACUGGUUGGCUAGAGUGCGGGAGAGGAGAGUGGAAUUCCUGGUGUAGCGGUGAAAUGCGCAGAUAUCAGGAAGAACACCCGUGGCGAAGGCAGCUCUCUGGGACGGUACUGACGCUGAGACGCGAAAGCGUGGGGAGCGAACAGG